CAGUCGCCGCGGUAAUACAGAGGGUGCGAGCGUUAAUCGGAUUUACUGGGCGUAAAGCGUGCGUAGGCGGCUUUUUAAGUCGGAUGUGAAAUCCCUGAGCUUAACUUAGGAAUUGCAUUCGAUACUGGGAAGCUAGAGUAUGGGAGAGGAUGGUAGAAUUCCAGGUGUAGCGGUGAAAUGCGUAGAGAUCUGGAGGAAUACCGAUGGCGAAGGCAGCCAUCUGGCCUAAUACUGACGCUGAGGUACGAAAGCGUGGGGAGCAAACAGGAUUAGAUACCCCAGUAGUCCCUGUCUCUUAUAC
rnacentral:rRNA from 1 species